rnacentral:rRNA from 1 species
UACAGAGGGGGCAAGCGUUAUUCGGAAUUAUUGGGCGUAAAGGGCGCGUAGGCGGCCUGGCAAGUGGAAGGUGAAAUCCCUCGGCUUAACCGAGGAACUGCCCUCCAAACUGCUUGGCUUGAGUCCGGGAGAGGUGAGUGGAAUUCCCAGUGUAGCGGUGAAAUGCGUAGAUAUUGGGAAGAACACCCGCGGCGAAGGCGGCUCUCUGGGACGGUACUGACGCUGAGACGCGAAAGCGUGGGGAGCGAACAGG